AGUGAACGCUGGCGGUAGGCCUAACACAUGCAAGUCGAACGGCAGCACAGUAAGAGCUUGCUCUUACGGGUGGCGAGUGGCGGACGGGUGAGGAGUACAUCGGAAUCUACUUUUUCGUGGGGGAUAACGUAGGGAAACUUACGCUAAUACCGCAUACGACCUACGGGUGAAAGCAGGGGAUCUUCGGACCUUGCGCGAUUGAAUGAGCCGAUGUCGGAUUAGCUAGUUGGCGGGGUAAAGGCCCACCAAGGCGACGAUCCGUAGCUGGUCUGAGAGGAUGAUCAGCCACACUGGAACUGAGACACGGUCCAGACUCCUACGGGAGGCAGCAGUGGGGAAUAUUGGACAAUGGGCGCAAGCCUGAUCCAGCCAUACCGCGUGGGUGAAGAAGGCCUUCGGGUUGUAAAGCCCUUUUGUUGGGAAAGAGAAGCAGCAGGUUAAUACCCCGCUGUUCUGACGGUACCCAAAGAAUAAGCACCGGCUAACUUCGUG
rnacentral:rRNA from 1 species